ensembl:snRNA U6 U6 spliceosomal RNA
GUGCUCACUUUGGCAGCACAUAUACUAAAAUUGAAAUGACACAGAGAAGGUUAGCAUGGCCCCUGUGCAAGGAUGACAUGCAAAUUCAUGAAGCAUCCAUAUUUUUC